GUGCUCACUUUGACAGCACAUACACUAUUGGAGUAACAGAGAGAAGGUCAGCAGGGCCCCCGCACAAGGAUGACAUGCAAAUUUGCAGAGCAUUCCAUAUUUUU
rfam:Tupaia chinensis contig88763, whole genome shotgun sequence.